GACGAACGCUGGCGGCGUGCCUAAUACAUGCAAGUAGGACGCAGUUGCGAACGGUUGAGUAACGCGUAGGUAACUACCUAUUAACAGGGGAUAACUAUUGGAAACGAUAGCUAAUACCGCAUACUAGUACAUGGACCUGCGUUUGAUUAGAUAGUCGGUCGGGUAAUUGCCUCCCUAGGCAACGAUGCAUAUCAGUACUGAGAGGGGGAACGGCCACACUGGGACUGAUGCAAGGCCCAGACUCCUGAGGGAGGCCGCAGUAGGGAAUCUUAGGCAAUGGGGGGAAUCCUGACCGAGCAACGCGGCGUGAGUGAUGAAGGUUCUCGGCUCGUUAAGCUCUGUUGUUAAGGAAGCGGUACUUAACCAGAAAGGGACGGCUAACUACGUGCCAGCAGCCGCGGUAAUAC
rnacentral:rRNA from 1 species